rnacentral:rRNA from 1 species
GAUAAACGCUGGCGGCGUGCCUUACGCAUGCAAGUCGAACGGUGUCCUUCGGGGCACAGUGGCGGACGGGUGAGUAACACGUACGUGACCUGACGCGAAGAGGGGGAUACCCGUCCGAAAGGGCGGCUAAUACCGCAUGUGGUCGUGGGGGGUACUCCACGAGUAAAGGGAGGAAUCCCGCUUCGUGAGGGGCGUGCGGCCGAUUAGCUAGUUGGUGGGGUAAGGGCCUACCAAGGCGACGAUCGGUAGCUGGGCUGAGAGGCCGGACAGCCACACU